AGUGAACGCUGGCGGUAGGCCUAACACAUGCAAGUCGAACGGCAGCACAGUAAGAGCUUGCUCUUACGGGUGGCGAGUGGCGGACGGGUGAGGAAUACAUCGGAAUCUACUUUUUCGUGGGUGAUAACGUAGGGAAACUUACGCUAAUACCGCAUACGACCUACGGGUGAAAGCAGGGGAUCUUCAGACCUUGCGCGAUUGAAUGAGCCGACGCUGGAUUAGCUAGUUGGCAGGGUAAAGGCCCACCAAGGCAACGAUCCGUAGCUGGUCUGAGAGGAUGAUCAGCCACACUGGAACUGAGACACGGUCCAGACUCCUACGGGAGGCAGCAGUGGGGAAUCUUGGGCAAUGGGCGCAAGCCUGACGCAGCCAUGCCGCGUGGGUGAAGAAGGUCUUCGGGUUGUAAAACCCUUUUGUUAGGGAAGAAAAGCAGCAGGUGAAUACCCCGCUGUUCUGACGGUACCCAAAGAAUAAGCACCGGCUAACUUCGUG
rnacentral:rRNA from 1 species